CUGCUCAUCAGCCGUCCUCACUCAGAGACCUGUGGGUAAUUAGGGCCGUGUUAAAUAUAGGAGAGCCAGCCCAGAGCAGUCCCAUCUGUGCCGGCGCCUUUGACCCUGAGGAAACACUGUGCCCUCAGCUAGCAAGUACUUUCAGGGCAGUAAAAGGGGGGUUUAGCUUUAAGCUGGAGGAUUGGGGUGUUGCUUAACUAAAGCUGAGAAUGCCGUGGCCUUUUAGCCCCACACAGGCUGUCAGAUACACAAUUCAGGGGUGAAAAACCACACCGGCCCCAGUGAAGCAUCCUGACACGUGCGGGCCCUGAUUAACCAAGCCACAGGUUUGCACCAGCCCAUUAAAGAAGACAACUCAGCUGAGGGGAUGGAGGGAAUGCAGUGUGUCUAAAUCGGUGUGGAGAAUAAAAUCAGACCCAUCGGCAGAGCCCACAGUGGGUCCCAGAGACAGCCGUCCCCAGCGCCUGUGGCCACUCAGCUCCAUGGUAAUUACCUCUUUGUGGAAUGUGUCCUCUGAGACCUGCUACUCAAAGUGUGGUCCUGAGGUCAGCAGCUUUGGCACUCCUGAAAGUGUGAAAUGCCGAGUCUCAGGCCUCUGGUGUACUGAAUCAGAACCUGCCUUUUUUUUCUUUUUUCAGUUACAUCUUUAAGAGCCUGUCCUUUAACAAGCAUUAAAGCUUGAGAAGUACCCCUCCAGGAGGCUCUCAGCCUUGCCUCUGGGAGGGCAGUGAAGAGAAUAGGCUUUCCAGAUGAGCUCAGCUGGUUUGAGAAGGCUGUGAGGUCACUGGACUAGCUGUUUGUUUGCUUGGGUUUCCUAAUGCCUGAUGAUCAGAAAAUUUCACAACUUCUCAGGCUCCCAGGAUGGUAUCUGGAUAAACUCAUCUGCUUUCCAGCCUGAAAGCCCUUGAUUGUCUGCAACUUGACCUCUAGGAAUUGCCCUGAGGUGUGUGCAUUGGAGGGUCUGGAAGGUUAGUCUCUGGGCCACAUCCUGAUGGUCCGUCAAGCCUGAUAGGGGAUGAGGAUUCUAGACUGGGAGGGCCUCUCCCCCGGGGUGACAGGAUAUUCUGCUGUGUUUGCGGUUACUGAUUGUUAUGGAGACGCAUUUUUCACGUAGGUCCAGCUCAGUGAUGGCACCCUCAAGGUGGCAAAGUGGCGUGGUGCCUUCCUGCAGCUGCUCGCCUUGUCUCCACGGAACCCACUUUUCAUUCAUGCCAAGUCUGCCCGGCCUGGCAAAAAUCUCUGCCUGAGAGCAAUCAACACUCUGUCUUCGGCAGAUCCACUGGAGUCAAUUUUGAGUGGGAGCUGGCCUCAGCAGAGGUCAACUGCCUCAGAGAGGAAAGGAAAUCGCUGACUUUCCAGGUGCUUUGGCAGGGAAUGCUGGCCAUGAAGGUCACUCUCAGGGUUUGAAGGCACUAAGACCCAGGGGGCAGGUACCCAGGCUGCUGCAGCUCAGCUGUUGGGAUAGGCCCAGUUUCUCCAUCUGAUAAGCCCGAUGGGCUGUCUGUUUUGAGUUCUUUCAAUUUUCCCAACUCAUGGGCUUCAGGCAAUGAAAACCACCCAUGUGAUGCUGUCCUCUCUCAACUGCAAAGUACCGAGGGGUGGCAGUCACAGCAUCACCCUGGAGCACAUCCAAAGGCAGUGCUACAUCACAGCACGCCACCUAAUGCUGCUGGUUUCAGCAGCAAAUGAGGCA